UACGGAGGGUGCGAGCGUUAAUCGGAAUUACUGGGCGUAAAGCGCGCGUAGGUGGUUAAUUAAGUCAGAUGUGAAAUCCCAGGGCUCAACCUUGGAACUGCAUUUGAAACUGGUUGACUAGAGUUUUGUAGAGGGUGGUAGAAUUUCAGGUGUAGCGGUGAAAUGCGUAGAGAUCUGAAGGAAUACCAGUGGCGAAGGCGGCCACCUGGACAAAGACUGACACUGAGGCGCGAAGGCGUGGGGAGCAAAC
rnacentral:rRNA from 1 species